AGUGAACGCUGGCGGCAGGCCUAAUACAUGCAAGUCGAACGGCAGCACAGCAGAGCUUGCUCUGUGGGUGGCGAGUGGCGGACGGGUGAGGAAUACAUGGGAAUCUGCCCAGUCGUGGGGGAUAACGUAGGGAAACUUACGCUAAUACCGCAUGCGACCUUCGGGGGAAAGCCGGGGACCUUCGGGCCUGGCGCGUUUGCAUGAGCCCAUGCCGGAUUAGCGAGUUGGCGGGGUAAAGGCCCACCAAGGCGACGGUCCGUAGCUGGUCUGAGAAGAAGAUCAGCCACACUGGAACUGAGACACGGUCCAGACUCCUACGGGAGGCAGCAGUAGGGAAUAUUGGACAAUGGGCGCAAGCCUGAUCCAGCCAUGCCGCGUGAGUGAAGAAGGCCCUCGGGUUGUAAAGCUCUUGUGUCCGGAAAGAAAAGCGCCGGGUUAAUACCCUGGUGUCCUGACGGUACCGUAAGAAUAAGCACCGGCUAACUACGUGCCAGCCGCCGCUGUAA
rnacentral:rRNA from 1 species